AGUAAAGAUUUUAAGGGCGUACGGUGGAUGCCUUGGCGAUAUCAGCCGAAGAAGGACGCGGUAAGCUGCGAUAAGCUACGGAGAGGUGCAAGCAACCUGUGACCCGUAGAUUUCCGAAU
rnacentral:ncRNA from 1 species